rnacentral:ncRNA from 1 species
CUUCCGCUCUCCCCGCACAGGAGGGCGGACCGAGGACCCGGUGCUCUCUGCCCUGACUGCUCCGGUUCCUCACCUUUCGGCCGAUCGGGACCGCACACCCCGUGGCCGGGAUUGCUCCGGGCUGCGGUGCCGCGAGGGUUGAGGGUCCCUCCAGGCGC